rnacentral:rRNA from 1 species
UACGUAGGGGGCAAGCGUUGUCCGGAUUUAUUGGGCGUAAAGAGCGUGUAGGCGGCCAGGUAGGUCAGCUGUGAAAACUCGAGGCUCAACCUCGAGACGCCGGUUGAAACCAUCUGGCUAGAGUCCGGAAGAGGAGAGUGGAAUUCCCGGUGUAGCGGUGAAAUGCGCAGAUAUCAGGAAGAACACCCGUGGCUAAGGCGGCUCUCUAGUACGGUACUGACGCUGAGACGCGAAAGCGUGGGGAGCGAACAGG